GUUCUGAUUCCCUUCCCCCCCUACUUUCCUUUGAACCCACAGCCUCCGGCCACCCAGUCGCCUUCCCGCCGUCCGUCCACCACUGCCCGCCGGAGGUCAGCUUCGUCCAGCUGAGUCCGUCUGGCUGCCCCCGGAUCCACCUGCCCGACAACCUUCGCCGCCACUCCGUGGAGCAGAUCUUCCACCUGGUGCCCCCCCCGGAGGAACUGGCCAGCAGCCUCCAGCACGGCCCCAGCACGGCCGCCCCAGCCCCUUCGCCCGCGGCCCGUCAGUGGGACAGUGACUACGAGAUGGACGUGCAAAACCGGGCGCACCUCCGGGCGGUCAGCAACCAGUACACCUCCCUCUGACCCCGCUGGGGGAGCCCCCUCCCCCCCCAGGCCUUUGCCCAGGACAUUGAAGGCCCCUGCCGGACAGACUCCCCCCUUCCAGCUGCAAUGGACUAGUGGGCCGGACGUCUCUUUCCCGCCAGGAUCCCUCCGGCCUGCGAGUUUCCUCCGCCUCUCAUCGGUUUGCACAGCUUCCUUUCCCAUUCAGCCUUUAUUUCUUAUUUUGGGUGGUACCUGUGAGGUUUGGAGUGGCCAGAGAACAACUCCUGUUAAAGCCAAAAUUCCUCUCCUUUUCCCUCCCUCCCUCCCUCAUCCUUCCUCCCUCCCUGCCCUCUUCCUUCCUCUCUUUCACUCCCUCCCUUAUCCUUCUUUUCCUUCCCUCUCCCUCCCUUUUUCCUUCCCUCCUUCCCUCUCCCUCCUUUAUUCUUCCUUCCUUCCUCCUUCCCUCUCCCUCUUCCUUCCUUCCUUCCCUCUCCCUCCCUUAUCCUUCCUUCCUUCUUUCCUCCUUCCCGCUCCCUCAUUCUUCCUUCCUUCCUUCUUCCCUCUCCCUCCCUUAUUCUUCCUUCCUUCCUCCUUCCCUCUCCCUCUUCCUUCCUUCCUUCCUUUCCUUCCUUCUUUCCUCCUUCCCACUCCCUCAUUCUUCCUUCCUUCCUUCUUCCCUCUCCCUCCCUUAUUCUUCCUUCCUUCCUUCCCUCUCCCUCAUCCUUCCUUCCUUCCUUCCUUCCUUCCUUCCUUCUUUCCUUCCUUCCUUCCUUCCUUCCUUCCUUCCUUCCUUCCCUCUCCCUCCCUUAUCCUUCCUUCCUUCCUCUGGUUCAAGAGCUCCUGCUCUGGCUAGAAAGGCAUUUCCAGGAGCUGCUCCUUCCCUUCAAAAACCCUGAGAAAAAUCGCUUCCACUCCUUUCAAGUCACUUUAAAACCAGCAAAGCUGCCUUAAAACCAGCAUUUCAGGGACUCGAGAGUCACCCCUGCCUCUUCCCACAGAAGCACCACAUUGCCAGCCCCUCUUUUUUGGGGGCCAAGAGCUAGCCUGUUCCUAGCUGUCAGAAGCCGAAAACCUAAUUUGGGAGGGGGGGGGGGAAAUGCACACGGGCUGCAGGGCUGUGCUCAGACUCAAAGGCCCAAGUCUUGUGAAGGGCUUUCGUUUUGGUGCAUGACCCAUUUCCACUCUUGUUUUCCCUUCUCGUGUUGCCCAAGGCAGCCCCCUGCCAUGGGGGACCCGGUGAGCCACGGGAGGGCCAUGUGGGCAUUGCACCCACCUUCCCCAGGGCUGUUACAGGAGGGGGGUGGGUGGGACUUCCCAGUUCCCAUUGCAUUACCUCGGGGAGGAACCGUAGGCUGCAAAACAGCCACCGCAAAUCAUCUUAAUCUAGCUGUCAGCAGGAAGCUGGAAGGAGAAAAGGGAAGUGAUAAGGCUGUUCAGGGUUGCCUUAACCAAACAGAGGAAGUUACAGUGGCUCCUUUUCUGCAAAAGCUUGACUUUCUCCUCCAGCAUUCGAGGCAAGUUCGAACUCGCCGUUCUGAGUUUUUCUUUCGUUUUUGUUAAGCCAAUUUGCACGUGCCUUUCACUGGAAAUGCCUUUUAUCUAAUCAGUGGCUCAACCUUGAAGAAAAGUGGGACUGGAAAGUCCCAGGAACGUUUCAGAGUCCCCUCCCUUGGUCGGUCUGUGAUUCCACCAAACCAUCUAAGGGAGAAGCUCUCUUGAAGGGGAGGCCACCAGGUUGGGCAGCAUAUCUAUUGAAUGAAGCCUGGACUUUAAUUUCAGAGCAGCGUCAGCCACGUCAAGAUGAGUGGACUUCAACGCCCAGAAUUCCCCAGCCAGCAGAGCUAUUUUGAAACGGCUUGAGAAACAGAGCAAUAGUAUUUGACUUUCCUAUCUGGUGCAUUGUUGCAUCUCCAAACUACAACACCCGAUAGAGGCAGACCAAACCACGAGAUCUGAGCCUUAACCACCUAGGUUCCAACUACUUUGUACCCAGGGUUUCAAAUUUUGUCCCUUUCCUGGCUAAUAAAGAGAUCACCUUUCAGAGUUUCUUUUGCGUU
ensembl:lncRNA